AAAAAAAAAAAAAGUAAAGGAAGGUAUGAUGACAAUGUCACACAAAGUAGUGAAUACCAAUAAAAAGGAACUAUUAAAUAGAACCAAAUGAAAAUUCUGGAGUUGAAAAGUACAAUAACUAAAAUUUAAAAAUUUAUUGGAAGCACUCAAUAGUAGAUUUGAACUGGCAGAAGAAACAAGAAGUAAACUUGAAGAUAGAACAAUAGAGAUUAUGUUCAAAGGAACAGAAAGCAUAAAGAAUAAAGAAAAACAAAGACAGUCUUGGGCCCCGAGCCCACGGGGCUGUGCGGAUGGUAGGGAUGCCGACCCUACCAAGGAGCAGAUGGCAGAAACAGAGAGAAACGACGAGGAGCAGUUCGAAUGCCAGGAACUGCUCUAGUGCCAGGUACAGGUGGGGGCCCCCGAGGAGGAGGAGGAGGAGGACUUGGGCCUGGUGGCCGAGGCCGAGGCCGUGGCUGCCGGCUGGAUGCUCGAUUUCCUCUGCCUCUCUCUUUGCCGAGCUUUCCGCAACGGCCGCUCCAAGGACUUCCGUAGGACCCGCAACAGCACAGAGGCUAUUAUUCAUGGACUAUCCAGUCUAACAGCUUACCAGUUGAGAAUGAUAUACAUAUGUCAGUUUUUGACAAGAAUUGCAGCAGGAAAAGCCCUUGAUGCACAGUUUGAAAAUGAUGAACGAAUUACACCCUUGGAAUCAGCCCUGAUGAUUUGGGGUUCAAUUGAAAAGGAACAUGACGAACUUCAUGAAGAAAUACAGAAUUUAAUUAAAAUUCAGGCUAUAGCUGUUUGUAUGGAAAAUGGCAACUUUAAAGAAGCAGAAGAAGUCUUUGAAAGAAUAUUUGGUGAUCCAAAUUCUUAUAUGCCUUUCAAAAGCAAAUUGCUUAUGAUAAUCUCUCAGAAAGGUACAUUUCAUUCUUUUUUUCAACACUUCAGCUACAACCACAUGAUGGAGAAAAUUAAGAGUUAUGUGAAUUAUGUGCUAAGUGAAAAAUCAUCAACCUUUCUAAUGAAGGCAGCGGCAAAAGUGGUAGAAAGCAAAAGGACAAGAACAAUAACUUCUCAAGAUAAACCUAAUGGUAAUGAUGUUGAAAUGGAAACUGAAGCUAAUUUGGAUACAAGAAAAAGGUCUCACAAGAAUCUUUUCUUAUCUAAGUUGCAACAUGGAACCCAGCAACGAGACCUUAAUAAGAAAGAAAGAAGAGUAGGAACUCUUCAAAGUGCAAAAAAGAAAAAAAGAAAGCAGAAGAGCCACUGAAAGCAGAAUACCUGUUUCAAAGAGUCAACCAGUAACUCCUGAAAAACAUCGAGCUAGAAAAAGACAGGCAUCGCUUUGGGAAGAAGACAAGAAUUUGAGAUCUGGCAUGAGGAAAUAUGGAGAGGGAAACUGGUCUAAAAUACUGUUGCAUUAUAAAUUCAACAACCGGACAAGUGUCAUGUUAAAAGACAGAUGGAGGACCAUGAAGAAACUAAAACUGAUUUGCUCAGACAGCGAAGACUGAUUGGGUUUGUAAAAGCUUGAUGAAAGGACAGUUAAGUAUUUUGAUCACUGCAUUUUGUUUGAAACUUGUGUCAUUGAUGUAAUUUAAAACUUUUGUUUAAAGCAUUACAGUAUUUUUCUGUGACCAUCAAUUAAUAUGAGGGUUUGUGCUAUAAGAGUUAAAGCAUAUGCUAUCAUUGUAUUCUUUAAGAACCUUAUUUUGAUAAAAUGUAAAUUUGUUGAACCCUGCCACAUUUAGUAUCCCCACCCCCAAAUCCUGUUCCAAUGAAAAAAUUAAAACCUGAUA